UACAGAGGGGGCAAGCGUUGUUCGGAAUUACUGGGCGGAAAGGGCGCGUAGGCGGCCUUCUAAGUCGAACGUGAAAUCCCUGGGCUCAACCCAGGAACUGCGUCCGAUACUGGAAGGCUUGAAUCCGGGAGAGGGAUGCGGAAUUCCAGGUGUAGCGGUGAAAUGCGUAGAUAUCUGGAGGAACACCGGUGGCGAAGGCGGCAUCCUGGACCGGCAUUGACGCUGAGGCGCGAAAGCCAGGGGAGCAAACGGG
rnacentral:rRNA from 1 species